GACGAACGCUGGCGGCGUGCUUAACACAUGCAAGUCGAACGGAAAGGCCCUGCUUUUGUGGGGUGCUCGAGUGGCGAACGGGUGAGUAACACGUGAGUAACCUGCCCUUGACUGUGGUUUAACUUCAGGAAACUGGGGCUAAUACCGGAUAGGAGCUCCUGCUGCAUGGUGGGGGUUGGAAAGUUUCGGCGGUUGGGGAUGGACUCGCGGCUUAUCAGCUUGUUGGUGGGGUAGUGGCUUACCAAGGCUUUGACGGGUAGCCGGCCUGAGAGGGUGACCGGCCACAUUGGGACUGAGAUAGGGCCCAGACUGCUACGGGAGGCAGCAGUGGGGAAUAUUGCACAAUGGGCGGAGGCCUGAUGCAGCAACGCCGCGUGCGGGAUGACGGCCUUCGGGUUGUAAACCGCUUUCGCCUGUGACGAAGCGUGAGUGACGGUACUGGGUAAAGAAGCACCGGCUAACUACGUG
rnacentral:rRNA from 1 species